rnacentral:rRNA from 1 species
AGCGAACGCUGGCGGCAGGCUUAACACAUGCAAGUCGAACGGGCUUCUUCGGAAGUCAGUGGCAGACGGGUGAGUAACACGUGGGAACGUGCCCUUCGGUUCGGAAUAACUCAGUGAAACUUGAGCUAAUACCGGAUACGACCCUUUUGGGAAAGGUUUACUGCCGAAGGAUCGGCCCGCGCCUGAUUACCUUGUCGGUGGGGUAACGGCCUACCAAGGCGACGAUCAGUAGCUGGUCUGAGCGGAUGAUCAGCCACGCUGGGGCUGAGACACGGACGAGAAUAUUACGGGAGGCAGCAGAGGGGAAUAUUAGACAAGGGGGGCAGGCAUGAUACAGCCAUGCCGGGUAAGUGAUGAAGGCCUUAGGGAUGUGCAGCAGUUUUGUACGGGACGAUAAUGACGGUACCGGAAGAAUAAGCCCCGGCUAACUUCGUG